UACGUAGGGUGCAAGCGUUAUUCGGAAUUAUUGGGCGUAAAGAGCUCGUAGGCGGUUUGUCGCGUCUGUCGUGAAAGCCCACGGCUUAACCGUGGGUCUGCGGUGGAUACGGGCAGACUAGAGGCAGGUAGGGGAGAAUGGAAUUCCCGGUGUAGCGGUGAAAUGCGCAGAUAUCAGGAAGAACACCUAUGGCGAAGGCAGCUCUCUGGGACGGUACUGACGCUGAGACGCGAAAGCGUGGGGAGCGAACAGG
rnacentral:rRNA from 1 species